CGGGUUUGCUGGUGCGGGUGCGGCCAAGACCGAGAAGUGGAAAGGGGCAGUGUGUGGCCAGCGCCAUUACGGGCAAUGUCAGGGAGUGGUGCCUCAUGGAAAGUAAUCCCAGGGUCUUCACUAAGCUCAUUAAAGGAUUUGGUUGCUGAGGAGCCCAAGUAGAAGAAAUAUGGAGUUUAGAGCCUGAGAAUUUUGAAAAAUUUAAGCCAGUUCAUGGGUUAAUUUUUCUUUUCAAGUGGCAGCCAGGAGAAGAACCAGCAGGUUCUGUGGUUCAGGACUCCAGACUUGACACAAUAUUUUUUGCCAAGCAAGUAAUUAAUAAUGCUUGUGCUACUCAAGCCAUAGUAAAUGUGUUACUGAACUGUACUCAUCAAGAUGUCCAUUUAGGAGAGACAUUAUCAGAGUUUACAGAAUUUUCACAAAGUUUUGAUGCAGCUAUGAAAGGUUUGGCACCGAGCUAUUCGGAUGUGAUUCGACAAGUACACAACAGUUUUGCCAGACAGCAAAUGUUUGAGUUUGAUGCAAAAACGUCGGCAAAAGAAGAAGAUGCUCUUCACUUUGUCACUUAUGUUCCUGUUAAUGGAAGACUGUAUGAAUUAGAUGGAUUAAAAGAAGGACCAAUUGAUUUAGGUGCAUGCAAUCAAGAUGACUGGAUCAGUGCAGUAAGGCCAGUGAUAGAAAAAAGGAUACAAAAGUACAGUGAAGGGGAAAUUCGAUUUAACUUAAUGGCCAUUGUGUCCGACAGAAAAAUGAUAUAUGAACAGAAAAUAGCAGAGUUACAGAAACAACUUGCUGAGGAGGAACCCAUGGAUACAGAUCAGGGUAAAGUAUGUUAAGUGCUAUUCAGUCAGAACUUGCCAAAAAUCAAAUGCUUAUUGAAGAAGAAGUACAGAAAUUAAAAAGAUACAAGAUUGAGAAUAUCAGAAGGAAGCAUAAUUAUCUGCCUUUCAUUAUGGAAUUGUUAAAGACUUUAGCAGAACACCAGCAGUUAAUAUCACUAGUAGAAAAAGCAAAAGAAAAACAGAAUGCAAAGAAAGCUCAGGAAUCUAAAUGAAGAGGAUCUUUUGGAAUGUGUACACAUUUCUGCUUCUGCACUUAAUUUCAUGGAAACCAUUAAGUAUAAAGAACUUUGAG